rnacentral:lncRNA from 1 species
CCGAGAAGCCUCCUCUCCGGGUGUGCUUUCCGGAUCCCAGCACUGACUAUGGCCCACGUGACCUUAGAAAGGUCUGGGAUUCUGGAAUCAGGAAACUCUUUCCUGUCGGUUUUUACUCUGUGACCUGGAACACACCCGUGCUCUUCGCUUUAAUUUUCUUCUGAAGGACUGCUCUAAAGAAAGCAAUAGCAAGCUCGUGGCAGAUGGUAGAGGCUUAACAGGAUAAUAGGCUAACAAUCGUGAUCAGAUUGUUCUAAUCAGAUGCUCAACCCACGGCUUUUGUGCAUUAUCGAUCUUUGAGGAAUGCGAGACUGAAGACAGCCCACUCCGGCGGCUCCUUACAGAGGAGAAACGACCACAGUACUCGGCGGCACUCAAGGACGCAAGGCCCCGGCUGAGAUGCUGGGGAAUGUCCUUAAAUCCUAAUCCAUUAUUUCAGCACAGUUGAAUACAGAAAUAGUUGCUCGGUUGGUGGACUUCAGCCAUUUCCCAUGAAGAGGGCGCCAUCUUGUGGCCGGUGUGGUGGACUGACAGGCGAAAGUCUAGGAUUGCGGGUUAUUCCCAGGCCAGGGCUCCCCGUGGGAUCCUGCUUUUCAGCAGGGUGGGUCUGUCCUGAGAUGAUGCAGCCAGCAAGCAAGAAGGGCUGGCUCUGCAGUCCGGGGCCCCUGACUCCUUGACUGAGGAGCGUUUUCAAGCCAACCCUGUGGUACUCAUGGGUCUUGAUGCCCAGAUCACAAACACACGAUGCUCUCUCAAGGCCUCUGGUACCUUCGUUUGCCUGAGCUUGUGUCUCUCCCUCCCGGAGGCAAGAGGCCUCUGCUGUGCUUCCUCACCCGAGGUAACAACAGAACAGAAAGGGACAGCGCCUUCUGGUUUGCAGAGCACCGUUUCCUGCCCUGUGUUCACCAGCAGCGUGCUCAGCGAGCCCUCAUCCAGUGGCUGAUGGAAGCAGAGACAGACAUCCACAGAUAUACACUGAGCUGAAAUCGGGAAUUUAGUUGAAGAGAGGGAGGAAUGAAGAGUGAAGGGGUCUGUACCAGAUUGGAGAAGCCCACAGGAACAAUUGGCCUGAACAAGGGAGAGCACAUCGACCCCAGAUGCUGUUGGGGAGGCCAGUACAAGACUGAUCCAGACCCCUGAACAUGGAUGUCAAUAAGGAGACCUCUGCACUCCAGGGAGCCUCUGGUGGUGGAUUAGUAUUUUUCCCUGGUGCAAGAAGGGACUUUGAGAGCCCAUCCCACGGGUGGGAUGAACGGUUACACUCUGGCCCUGGACACAUGGGGAAGGGCCCCGGACCAGCACAGGAAGAUUUGGUGGACUUUGCUGAGCCCCCAUUGAGACCCCUACCCUGCCUGGGAAGUGCUGGGUGGAUGGGGGGGGCGCUGAGCUGGGGGUGGGGGAGGAGGUGGAGGUGGGGGGAGGGAGAGGGAGAAGGGACUUACAUGUGAAGCUAGCUUGUUCCCUAACUAGAACUAAUAAAAAAAAUUAUGAAAAAAAUAAAAAUAAAAAAAA